ACCAUUCUGUGAUACUGUGACUGGAGUGCUCAUACCCUCAAUUAAUCAACAACUCUGAAUGUUUAAUAAUAGUUGGAUCUAAUCUCAGUCAAGAGCCAGUUAUGAGUCACAUAUGUUUGUCACUUGUCUAACUGUAUUAGACAUGAUUUUUGUU